AUCUAAAUAGUUUAUUUAAAACAUUGAUUUGUGGUAUCAAAAAUAUUUUUUUAAUUUUAGAUU
rnacentral:tRNA from 1 species